rnacentral:rRNA from 1 species
AUUGAACGCUGGCGGCAGGCUUAACACAUGCAAGUCGAGCGGAGAUGAGGUGCUUGCACCUUAUCUUAGCGGCGGACGGGUGAGUAAUGCUUAGGAAUCUGCCUAUUAGUGGGGGACAACAUUCCGAAAGGAAUGCUAAUACCGCAUACGCCCUACGGGGGAAAGCAGGGGAUCUUCGGACCUUGCGCUAAUAGAUGAGCCUAAGUCGGAUUAGCUAGUUGGUGGGGUAAAGGCCUACCAAGGCGACGAUCUGUAGCGGGUCUGAGAGGAUGGUCCGCCACACGGGGCCUGGGACACGGCCCAGACUCCUACGGGAGGCAGCAGUGGGGAAUAUUGGAAAAGGGGCGGAAGCCUGAUCCAGCCAUGCCGCGUGUGUGAAGAAGGCCUUUUGGUUGAAAAGCACUUUAAGCGAGGAGGAGGCUACCUGGAUUAAUACUCUAGGAUAGUGGACGUUACUCGCAGAAUAAGCACCGGCUAACUCUGUGCCAGCCGCCGCGGUAA